rnacentral:rRNA from 1 species
UCUUGCAACUCACAACUGGCAACCCACUGAAGCUAAGCAGGUGUGAGCCUGGUUAGUACUUGGAUGGGAGACUUCCUGGGAAAAACUAAGGUUGCUGCUGGAA